UACGUAGGGGCCUAGCGUUGUCCGGAAUUAUUGGGCGUAAAGAGCUCGUAGGCGGUUCGGCAAGUCGGAUGUGAAAUCUCCACGCUUAACGUGGAGGGGCCAUUCGAAACUGCUGUGACUCGAGUCCGGUAGGGGGAGUGUGGAAUUCCCGGUGUGCGGGUGAAAUGCGCAGAUAUCGGGAGGAACGCCAGUAGCGAAGCGGCCGACUGGACC
rnacentral:rRNA from 1 species